rnacentral:lncRNA from 1 species
CAGUGACAGGAAAAAUUGCAUAUAAAGGCUAUAUAUAAUAGCUCAUCUCAGAUCCAUGAUCCUGGCCACUAACAAUCUACUACACAUGAUCUGUGACAGGUCAUUAGUAAGCGUAUCCCCCAUCAAAUAAAUAAGGAAUAAAGUCUGAAACUGCCAUUCUGGUCCUUAUUUUCAAUCUGACUAGGCAUCUGUUACUUCUACAGUCCCAGCAAACUCUGGCUUGGGUAAAAGCUCCAACUCUGGGGUAAAUGGCCCCAGGCAGCCAAGUGUGGUGGUGCACACCUGUAAGCCCAGCACUCAGGAGGCGGAGGCAGGGCCAGGACAAGGCUCAGUAGGU